AGAAGUCGUAACAAGGUUUCCGUAGGUGAACCUGCGGAAGGRUCAUUG
rnacentral:rRNA from 1 species